rnacentral:lncRNA from 1 species
CACGGCUACCCCCGGCUCAACCUAGCCCAGACUGUCCGAGGGGCCCGCGCGCGGCCGCAGCCCCCGCCCCCAGCCCGCAGUGCUCUUACCUCCACACCUGCCCCAUCUGCAGCAGGUGGAUGACCGACUGCCAGAUCCACACGGAGAGGCGGCACAGACGCUGCGCCCCCGGGGUGGCCGAGCCCCCCGCACCCGGGCCGCCGCGGGCCGCGCCGUGGCCGUAGCCGGCCCCCAUCAUUGGGGGUCCCCGGCUGCUGAGCCCCUCCACGGCGCCUAGCCCGCCGCCCGUGUAGUCCUGCACGAACCAGCGGAAGCUCAGGCUCUGCACCAGCAGCGACGGCACCAGCACGAAGAACAGGGUCAGCCCGAAGCAGCCGUAGUCCCCCUUGCGGUAGUAGUCGAGGGCCAGCCACACCGCCAUCGGAUUUCGCCGCCAUCUUGACUCUCUUCCCAGCUCCGGAGUGGUACCAAAAGGCUCCUUCAUAAUCAGUUCUACACAAUGAGUUCUCCUGAAUCACACCCUAUGCCGUCUACCCACUGAUGCCAACCCCAAAGGACAUCAUAUCACAGCACUAGUUAUAGGAAGGACCCUGUUACAUUGCAGUAACGGCACACAUCUAGGACACAUCGUGUAAAUCCUAGUAUGAGGAUGGGCCUCAGCACGACACCACUGAUGGGCUUUUGAGCCUCUGGAAGCUUCUUAACUCUAAGUGUGCAUCAUCCUUAUGCUUCUAUU